UAAAGCAAAACACCAAACAUUACUUUAGCAGAGUAAAAGUAAAGCAAAUGAUUGCAAAUAUCUAUUUCAGGAGCAUGCCAGCAAUACUUACUAGAUGGAAUGAUACAAGAAAUUGCAGUUUGGUUCAGGGGUUUACAUGCUACUGUCCUCAGCUGGCAAAGAAGGGAAAUUGUGCCAAAGAGCUGUUUAACACAGAGGAAAAUACAAUAUUCUGCUUUUUAAGUAGAAAAGGAGAUAACUGCCAGUAUCACCUGCAGACAAAAUACAAUAGGAAAAUAGAAAAAGAGAGAUAUAUAAUUUGGGGGAUCCCUCAGAUACCACCAUUCCCAGAAAUUCAGAGAGAGCAUUUCCCUCAAUUACUCACAUUUCUGAUAAAUCAUAGAUAAGUAUAUGUGGUCUGUAGAAGAAGACAGUUUCUUGCAUCUCUCUUGAGUUUUCUAAGAAAAGCUGUCACUGUCCCCAGGGAUGAAGAUAAUGAAAGGAAGUAUUAGGACUCCAGACAAGAAGAAGGGAAGAACAUAAUCAUUUCUUUUUAGGGGCAGCAUGAACAAUCAAGAUUUCUCCUCUUCAUAACAGAGGCUUCAGCAUGAGUAAAACCAGUGGCUGAUCCCAGCAGGUAUAACAAAAGGCAAAAUGCAGUUCAUGCAAUCUAGUCUUUUGCUAGUCCUUUUGCUAGUCCUCUAAUGAGUGGUUCGGUUCUUGUAUGUAAUUUGAUUGCUCAAAAGUAGAAAGGUCCAGCUCAUACCGAGACCUCUUAAUUCGCAUCUGUGCAGAGCACUUCCAACAAGAACCACGAGCGUGCUGUGAGUAGCCCAACAAUGAAUCACAAAACUGUGAGGCAUUUCAUGUCUUCUAGUACAGACAGUAAGAAAUAAGAGCCCAAAUGCAAGCUUUCUAUUCACUGUCUCCUUCGAUGAAAUGUGGUAUUUCCAGAAUGCGUUUCUCAAUCAGACUGUCCCCCGAGCAGCUCUCACAAACAGCCCAAAGGUGGUAACCGGCUAUUUGCCAGCUGGUAGUAAGCAGCACCAAGCAGAAGCGAAACAAGCUUUCAGAUGCACUUUACUCACUGCCGUUCCACUCCUUCUCCCCACUGACUGGCGCUAGGACAGUGCGUUGGCAUGAGUGAACGGAGUCUUUCCCUCCCAACAAGCACAGUUCUUUGAAACAUCUCAUCUUUUGUUUCUCACCUUAACUCAGCAGUGUGUCAGCAAAUGUACUGUUACUGGUGCCAAAACGAUGCAAUUGCUACGCGUGGUUUGUGCAAGAUUUGUAUAUAUUUCUUGUAUUAGACUAUAAAUCUCUCUUGCAUCAUCUUGAUGUGAUUCUUAUUAAUUUGAAACAGGACUACAUGUAAGCAAACUGUUCUGAGUUUGGCUUUUUCAUGACAAGCCAACAUCCAGCAGUUACCAAAGCCAGUCACACCACAGCUGCUGGGAUUUGUACUGGGAUGAUGACGAUUUCUCUUAUAACAGCGGUGGGUUUAUGGACGGCACUGUCAGAGCCAGCUCAUGGCAGCCCAGCAUGUUCCCAACAGCCAUAAACCCAACCGAGCAGACUGGAGAGCGGUUUGCACACUUUCUAUUUUUACCCAGCAGUAAAAGCCUGGUUUCCUCGGCCCGAGCCUCACGGCCUGCAGCGGGGCUCCCUGCGAUGGCCGUAGGCGGGCCCCUUCCUUCUCCUCCCCAGAGGAACGCGCGCCACAGCGCCGGCUCCUUCAGCCGUUUCGAACACUCAACUGAAAGCCUUUCACUUUCCGGACGCGGUCGGGCGCGGGGAGGCUUUUGCCGCCAGGGGACGCUGUGGCUCCGGCUGCGCGGCCGCCGCGAGCCCCCGGCCGAGCCCCUCCGCUGCCGCGGCUGAGAGGGCUCGAGGGCGUCCGCGGCGGCCGUUAAUGGCGGCGGCAGUUAAUGGGAGCGGUCGUUACAGCGCCAGCGGGGGCGCGUGAGGGGAAUGCGGUCCCGCUGUCCCCUGUCGUGGGCUCCCGCUCUGCCCAGCUGAGGCGGCCGGGCCUCCCUGGGGCCAGGAUUGAGGCUCGUGGCCAAACCCUGCCCCACGCGUCCCGGCGGGGAUGCAGAGCGUACAUGCGAGUCAGCGUGGCUUGUCGUGUAACUUCCAGGCACUUCGGGCUCAUGCAGCGUUAUGCUAUGUGACAGGGACUUCCCCUUCUUUCGGCAAGCUGAGAUCCUGUAAAUGAAAAUUCUGAACCCACUGGUUAUCUGGAUGGAGAGUCCCUGAAGGCAAUUUAUAGACUGUAUUUCACGAGUAACAAAAUACGGUCACUGGGAUUUUCUGAUGGCUUCCAGGAGAAUGGAGAGGGAGGGAAAUCUUUUCAGAUUAUUACUUCUGAUUCAAUAACGUUCCAGAGAAGUUAUGACCAUUAAGUGCAUAAUUCUGGCUGCAAGCUGCUCUGCCUGGGCUGACCUCGCUGACUCUUCAAGAUUCCCUGUGUUACCUGAAACUCCAGACUGGAGAAGUGCGGAACAACCAAUAGGACAAUGGCUCAA